rnacentral:piRNA from 1 species
UAGACACGUGGAAACCAGACACGACAGAUA